rnacentral:tRNA from 1 species
ACCUCGUUGGCGCAGUAGGCAGCGCGUCAGUCUCAUAAUCUGAAGGUCACGAGUUCGAGCCUCACACGGGGCA